GAUGAAGAACGUAGCGAAAUGCGAUAAGUAGUGUGAAUUGCAGAAUUCAGUGAAUCAUCGAAUCUUUGAACGCACAUUGCGCCCCUUGGUAUCCCGAGGGGCAUGCCUGUUCGAGCGUCAUUUCACCACUCAAGCCUGGCUUGGUGUUGGGCGACGUCCCCUUUGGGGACGCGCCUCGAAACGCUCGGCGGCGUGGCACCGGCUUUAAGCGUAGCAGAAUCUUUCGCUUUGGAAGUCGGGGCCCCGUCUGCCGGAAGACCUACUCGCAAGGUUGACCACGGAUCAGGCAGGGAUACCCGCUGAACUUAAGCAUAUCAAUAAGCGGAGGA
rnacentral:misc_RNA from 1 species